CCUAAAGUGUCCACAUGGUUUAUGGAUCUCCCCUAACGUGAUCGCAGCACCUAAGAGGUCCUAAUAAAAAUAAGUGACGAGUGAAAAAACAGACUUCCUACAGACUUUUUGUCAAGAUUAUACAGACACCGCCUUUCAGGAAAAUGGCAUCCCUCUACAAGGCUUAUUUUGUGGCGAUCAGACGGGACCAUUUGAGGAUAUGUAAAUUCAGACCAUUUUUUAAACUGCUUGUAAUUUUAGAUAGAUAUCAACUCGGUUCGACCUGCAGCUUGUAGAGGACAUCUGGGACUACCAUCUGAGACUGAGAACGCUUUGGUUAUCCAACCUUGAGCAUAUGUUGUUGGUGAUCACACCAAUCCAGAAGCACAAACACUUUUCUUCACAACACUGAUGAUGAUUUUCAAUGAACAACCUUCUCCUGUGGUUUCCCGAUCGCAACUGGAUUCACUGAGC